UACGAAGGGGCUAGCGUUGCUCGGAAUGACUGGGCGUAAAGGGCGCGUAGGCGGAUGACACAGUCAGAUGUGAAAUUCCCGGGCUUAACCUGGGGGCUGCAUUUGAUACGUGUUGUCUAGAGUGAGGAAGAGGGUUGUGGAAUUCCCAGUGUAGAGGUGAAAUUCGUAGAUAUUGGGAAGAACACCGGUGGCGAAGGCGGCAACCUGGUCCUUGACUGACGGCUGAGGCGCGAAAGCGUGGGGAGCAAACAGG
rnacentral:rRNA from 1 species